CCUACGGGAGGCAGCAGUGAGGAAUAUUGGUCAAUGGACGAGAGUCUGAACCAGCCAAGUAGCGUGAAGGAUGACUGCCCUAUGGGUUGUAAACUUCUUUUAUAUGGGAAUAAAAUGUUCCACGUGUGGGAUUUUGUAUGUACCAUAUGAAUAAGGAUCGGCUAACUCCGUGCCAGCAGCCGCGGUAAUACGGAGGAUCCGAGCGUUAUCCGGAUUUAUUGGGUUUAAAGGGAGCGUAGGUUGAUUGUUAAGUCAGUUGUGAAAGUUUGCGGCUCAACCGUAAAAUUGCAGUUGAAACUGGCAGUCUUGAGUACAGUAGAGGUGGGCGGAAUUCGUGGUGUAGCGGUGAAAUGCUUAGAUAUCACGAAGAACUCCGAUUGCGAAGGCAGUUCACUGGACUGCAACUGACACUGAGGCUCGAAAGUGUGGGUAUCAAACAGGAUUAGAUACCCCAGUC
rnacentral:rRNA from 1 species